rnacentral:lncRNA from 1 species
GAAAAUUUCCUUUCUUUGGUGGAGGUCCUUGUGGUUGUUAUCUUGCUCUAUUGCGUGGUCUCGUUCAUGCGAGCAACGUUCUUUGAGAUGGGUAGGUCUUGCUCCUUGUCUUGGCAUUUUCGAAUCUGGUGAGAUCGGAUUGCUUUUAUGAUUUUUAUCUAGGCGCUCCUUGACGCACCAUCGUCUUUGCCGCAUCCGGAAGUGCUUUAUGAGGUUCAGUUUUGGCCUUUACUUGCCCAGUUAUGAAGUCUUGGUUACUGGGUUUCGAGAGAUCAGCUCUCAUCGUGAUAGGAGGAGGCAGAAGUUAUCGAUGGGUUGGCCGUGGGCAGCAUUGGUUUUUCUCAUUCGCAGGUUCCUCAUUAGAAAAAGUGGUUUUUUGUGCUUGGGUUGAGUGUUUUUGUUCGGGUUUAAGUUUGUUUGCCUCUUUUCUUAGGUUUUGGUUUCGAUUCCUUUCGAUUUCGGUUUAAAAAUUUCAGUCUUGUAUUGUGUUCAUGUUUCUCUUGUUUAGGGCUUAGACUCCGGAGAAUUAUCGUUUUCUUCCGGCUUAGUUUCUGGGGACUUUUCUGUUGUCCGCUGGCUUAGUUUCCCUUGUUUGGGCGUUGUAUUUUA